GCCUACAUCGCAUAAUGGUAUUGCACCGCUCUGCUAAGGCGGACCCUUCGGGGUACCCCGGUUCGAUUCCGGGUGUAGGCG
rnacentral:tRNA from 1 species